UUUGGAGGACUCUAACCUUGACUUUUCAGCUUUGAGCUCCCUCUGGAAGCGAUGUGCAAGCAUAGCAUGGCAUCAUCUCUAAAGACUGGUGGUAGGAAGAGAGCAUAGAUGCAGUUUUCAUCAGGAUAACUUCUGUUGUGAUCGAAUUCCUCUUUGUGUGGUUCCCAGCAUUUCAGACAGCGCAGCACUGCAGUAUCACACCCCUCUCUGGUAUGCUAUUCCCUCAAGACUCCCAUGGCAGAGAGAGAUGGGUAAUGUUUUCUGAGCUUCUUCCUCUAUUUUUAUUCUUUCUCUGUUCCUCCUUUUCUGUAGAGGAUCAAAAUGGAUUAUUUUCAUCUUGACAUGCAAAUGCCUAGGCUGUGCCCUUGGCUGAGAUCUCAGCAUUGACUACAUAAGUGAAAGAUAUGGGAGCAGUACAGUUUUAAUAUCACAUAUGGAAGUGGCAGUCUUAUUUCUUAAGAAAAAAAAGAAAAAAAAGUUACUGUAGUCCUUUGUGCCUUGAAAAAUAAUAAAAAUGCCUAAUAAAAACAUUUCCUCAUGCACUACUGAAUACCAUAAUCGUAUGCAGUCAUUGGUCUGCACAGAGGCAAACCAACAUUGUGUGCAGCUCAAUCUUAUUGUUGUACUCAGAUCUGUCUAUUUGCCAUGCCAAAAGUAUCAAUGGGAGUAAAAGACACAUGAAUAAUUUUACCAAGUCAGAUUACACCUCCAAAUAUGAACGUUUAAAAAGGGAUGGAAUUAUAAAAGGAAUAGGGCGGAUUUCUAAGGCUGCUUGAGAAACGCUUACAGAGAUAAAAAGGUCAAAUUCUUCACCAAUUUUCACUCUGCACAACAGCAGUUAAGUAAAUGAAACAACAUGGCCUGAAAAUCGGUGCAGGAUACAACUCGCAGAAUACAUUGAUACACCAUAAAAGUCAUCAUGUGGUUUCAUGUUAACAUGAAAGAAAUGGUAUCUGACCUCAAAAGCAUGCACACUGGCUCACCGUUUCUAAUUAUUAUAAUAUUAUUUUUCUGAAACAGCAGCAGCAAAACACUAUCAAGAAACAGCCUCCUGGCUAACGUUCUCAGCAGACCCUCAUGGCUAUUUACGCAAAUGAGCAACCCAACAAAGCAAGAGAGAUCAUGAUUCACAGAUCGUUUACACAAACUCCGAGACUGACAUGUCUUUGGCCUGAAAAAGAGGAGCAGUCUGCAGCCUCCAGCCUUACCCAACUGUGUUAUCAAUUGCACUUACAAAGGGCUGUCAGACUACUGGAAACCACCUAGACCUUCAUCCACAAGAAGCUUGCUGAUGGGUCUCUGCCUGUUGGCUGAUGUACUGCUUUAAAGACCUUCUCCAUGGCUUCUGGGAACCUCCAUGUGGGACAUCUGCAAUGCUGGUCGCAUCUCUUCAGGAAGCAGGACCAUAGAGGGUAUAGGAACACAAUCCUUCAACCCUGGAUGAAGCACAAAGAGUUUGGAGGCUUCAUUCUGUCCUUAAAAUCACACCACCACGAACCCUGGCAGGAGGCUGAAACUGGAAAGUAAUAGCAGGAAAAAUGGAUUUUUCUCAACAUGUUGAAUACACUGCCAAAAUCAAAAUCCCUUCGCAAUUCCACCUGCAGUCUGCAGACUUGCUGUUACAGAGGAGCUGAAGCUAAAUAACCAAUGAUGGACUUUACAUGCUAAAAAGAAAACAGCCCAGAAGACUGAAGAAAAAAGCAGUUUUUAAAUAAUAAUCAAACUUAUAGUCAUAAUAGAAAUGAUUGAUUACUUUCUGUGAUGAACUUUCUCCAUUCUUUCUCUUGAAUAACUGUAAUGGAUGGUGAUAGAUGCUGGUACUCAAAUUUAGUUUUGUUUUUUUUUUUUUUUUCUGUCAGAAACUUAUCCUUAGGGCCUUCUAGUUAGAAGCUCUUUUGAUGUCUAAUCAACCCACACCUCUCAUCUCAGAGACUCUUCAAGGGAGUGUGUACUUAUUGAAUAAAAACUUCUUGUACAAUCUUCAGAAUGAAAUAAUUCUUAUUUCUCCUAAUUUGAUAAUUUGACCUAGUAGCUGAGAUAUAAAGAGUCCCCUUUCCUUACAAAUAGGAAAAACCAAAUACCAUAGCUUAUAAACAUUGUCAUGGUCUGGCAAAGUCAAUUUUGUAUGCAGCCAAAUAUUGAAUAGUAAGUGUCUUAGUAACAAGCAGGAAAAGAGAAUUUUUUGAAUGCCGUUUUUAUCACAAUCACCUACUUAUCUCUCACUCAGACAAUACUACAUUGAAAGGAAAUUUCUGUGAAUUGGAGAAAUAAGCAUUUGACCACAUGUAGAAAGACAAUUUUCCUAUUUUAUGAACUUAUGCACCAAUUAAAAAAGCUAUUACAGUUUUUCAGCAGAUUACCUGUAAGUUUAUUACAACCAUUGUCUGAUAUUCUAUAUUGUUAAGUUAUAUUUAAUACUUGUUAUGAGAUUAAGACACAAAGAUAUAUCUAGUUUAAGGAAACAUCUUCCAAAUUCAUUUGUGAGAGAGCUGUAUUAAUAUUAAACCAAAUAUUCAGAUUAAUGGUGAUGGGUUCAUUUAAUGUCUAAUAUGUCUAACAGCAAAGAAGAAAUCACUGACUAAGACAGUGGAGAGAGAAAUUUUGGCGUAAUCACUGUCUCUUUGCAAUCACUUCCCCAGAUGUUUAUACAUGUAAACACUGACUAAAAAUCACCUAAAUUAUUUAAUCCAAUGCUAUUAGAGCUUUUGCUGGUUGUUUAUGAUGAUUGACCUGCUUAUGUAAGUACUUUAAACUAGUGCAUUAUCUGCAACUAACUUGCAACAGGUGAGUUUAACAGCUGGUUUAAAACAUGUGUGUUGAUUAUAAAAUGAACAGAAUAGUUCUAAAUUAUUUCAAAAUUUAUGUAAAAAUGAGUGUAUCAAAGUACACUAAAGCAUCUGACUAUUUAUACUCAAAGUUUAAAAUCAUAAAUAUAUGAUAAUUAACCAGUAAUUUUGAAAUAUAUAAUUUCCCUCUAUGUUUUAAUACUUUUAAUAAUGAAGAUCUUCAGGCUAGCAUGUUCUACAGAAGACAUGCAAAUGUUUAGUGAAAAAAAAAAAAGAGAAUGUAUGAUGGUACUCAUUUGAAAGCAACUUUUAAUGUGAAAACACUAUUAACACAUUUGAUCUGUCAUGAUGGGCAGCAGAAUAUGAUUUUACAAAAAUAAAAAGAAACUUUUAUUGGAAUGGACCAGAAAUUUAACAAAAAGUAUUUGAAAAGGAUUAUAUUUCUGGACAUCUAGUGCAAGCAAUUAUUGGUAAUAAUAAUAUUUCCUUUCAUUGACAACUAUCAGAGAUAUUAAAAUGUUGUUUGGUAGUCUGUUGAUCAUCUGUCAUUUUCCUGGCAUACCAAAGAAGUUAAAAUAAAAUUUUUU